rnacentral:pre_miRNA from 1 species
AUUCUACUCCCUCCGUUGCACAAUACAUGCCUUCUAUUUGUAAAAAUAUAUAUGUAUCUAGACAUGUUUUAGUAUAUAGGUACAUCCAUUUUUGGACAAAUGGAAGUCAAGUAUUUUGGAACGGAGGGAGUACAUA